rfam:Nadsonia fulvescens var. elongata DSM 6958 unplaced genomic scaffold NADFTscaffold_1, whole genome shotgun sequence.
UCCGAAAUAGUUUAGUGGCUAGAAUUUGCGCCUGUCAGAUACACGUUUAUAUCAGCACGCGUGGGACCGGGGUUCAAUUCCCCGUUUCGGAG